rnacentral:rRNA from 1 species
GAUGAACGCUAGUGGGAGGCCUAAUACAUGCAAGUCGAGCGGUAGAAUGACUUCGGUUGUUUGAGAGCGGCGAACGGGUGAGUAACGCGUACACAAUCUACCUUUAAGAGGGGGAAUAGCCCUGGGAAACUGGGAUUAAUGCCCCAUGGCAUCACGGGAUGGCAUCGUUUUGUGAUUAAAGCUGAGGUGCUUAAAGAUGAGUGUGCGUCUGAUUAGCUAGUUGGUAGGGUAAAGGCCUACCAAGGCCACGAUCGGUAGCUGGUCUGAGAGGAUGAUCAGCCACACUGGGACUGAGACACGGCCCAGACUCCUACGGGAGGCAGCAGUGGGGAAUAUUGGACAAUGGGCGCAAGCCUGAUCCAGCAAUGCCGCGUGUGUGAAGAAGGCCUCGGUU